AUGCAAAUCAUGCAUGGCUCGGCUUUCUGCCGCACCCGCCGCCGCUGCUGCGGCUGCCGGUGGUUCGUGCGUCUCCUCCAUGCUGGUGCAUGCAUGGACUGGACGGACCCGUACCGUACGUCGUCGUGGCCUGCUGAGGUGAGGUCAGAUCCGGAUACAGCUGCAGCUGCCUGUGCAGGCCUGCAGGGCCGGGCCGCCGGGGAGCUCUGCUUUGCUUCCAUUGGUAUGGCAACAGUGCUGCCUGAAAAGAGUUCCUCCGCCAUGGCCCUGCGCGACGCGCGCGUGCGUCACGCCUGCUGGCUGUCUGCGAUCGGCUCGCCCCUGCCGGGGCCGGGGCCGGCCGUCAGCUUGCCCCCACACGGACCGGACGGAGCU
rnacentral:misc_RNA from 1 species